UUUAUGGAGAGUUUGAUCCUGGCUCAGGAUGAACGCUGGCGGCGUGCCUAAUACAUGCAAGUCGAGCGAACGGACGAGAAGCUUGCUUCUCUGAUGUUAGCGGCGGACGGGUGAGUAACACGUGGAUAACCUACCUAUAAGACUGGGAUAACUUCGGGAAACCGGAGCUAAUACCGGAUAAUAUUUUGAACCGCAUGGUUCAAAAGUGAAAGACGGUCUUACUGUCACUUAUAGAUGGAUC
rnacentral:rRNA from 1 species